rnacentral:lncRNA from 1 species
GAACUACAGAAAACUGACAAUGCUCGUCAAUUAAGAUUCGAACUCCUAACCUCAGUGUUGACAGGCUAGUUAUACAGUUGUUGGACUACUUAGACCAAUCGUCCUCAGAGGAUUCCUGUAUAAACAAAAUAAAGGUUAAAUUUCAUUAUUAAAGCAUUUUUGUGCAAUGAUUGUGCAGUUUUCAGUAUCUUAAACCAAUCCAAAUUGAAACGGAAACUUCAGAUAGCAUCAAUAUUUCUCUAAACCAUUUAUUUAAGAACCUCUAUCUAUUUUCUAUGGUAUACAUUCGGCGCCAGAAGAGAAGAAACCAACAAACGAUCGAGAGUAUCGAAACAUAAGGAUCUAAUCAUUAACAGAACAAUCAAAACCGUGCAAAUUACUUUUGCCGGAAUAAGUAGCAAUCUCAUGUUUAUGUAGGUACAGCUAAAUGAUAUACUAGUAUAUAUGCAAUGUAUCAUUUAAAAUCUUGUUAGUGUAGAGGCACUGGAUAACAGGCCAACUGUAUCUUCUGCAUGUUCCUGAUAUUAUACUGAGC